rnacentral:ncRNA from 1 species
UGACGCAAUGUGAUUUCUGCCCAGUGCUCUGAAUGUCAACGUGAAGAAAUUCAAGCAAGCGCGGGUAAACGGCGGGAGUAACUAUGACUCUCUUGACGUAGAAAGACGUGCUAUAUGUGCUGUGUCUUUGUGACGUGAUUUUAGUGGGAAAAACUAUUCCGAUUU